AUUGAACGCUGGCGGCAGGCCUAACACAUGCAAGUCGAACGAGUGUCGGACGGGUGCGUAAUGUCUGGGAAACUGCCCGAUGGAGGGGGAUAACUCCUGGAAACGGUAGCUAAUACCGCAUACCAUCGUCUUUUCCCUGAUGGGAUUAGCUAGUAGGUGGGGUAACGGCUCACCAAGGCGACGCUCCCUAGCUGGUCUGAGAGGAUGACCAGCCACACUGGAACUGAGAAACGGUCCAGCCUCCUACGGGAGGAAGCAGUGGGGAAUAUUGGACAAUGGGCGAAAGCCGGAUCCAGCCAUGCGGCGUGUGGGAAGAAGGUCUUCGGAUUGUAAAGCACUUUAAGUUGGGAGGCGUUACCAACAGAAUAAGCAACGGCUAACUUCGUGCCAGCAGCCGCGGUAAUAC
rnacentral:rRNA from 1 species